UCCCGUGUCCGGAAAUACCUCGCUCGUCACGAAAGCGGGAACGAAUCAUAAACAAUAGCAAUGUUAAUAAAUUCUUAUAUUUUGCCAUAAUUUUGGUGACUUUAUUUUUUUUUUUAUCAGUCUAGUGAGUGAUAACAAGUCCAAUUGAGAAUUGCGCCAUUCGUUAUCUCUCCCCCUUCAUCAAUCAGCCUGAAAGCGAGGCAAUUUAACCAAGACGGUCAACCAGAUUGGCAAGUAGUCACACGUCGCGAGACAUGCAGAUUUCUCCAACAAGGGAUCUUUUACAGUGGAGUUACUCAGACAAGAAAAUCAAUGCGGUUGCAAGGUCCAAGUCGAAAUCCCAUGGGAUCGUCCUAGGGUCCGCCUACAUAACCCAGUCUCAUCACGUUCUGUUUCUGUAGCUAAAAUGUGAUAUCUUCCAUACAUACGGAGUAAGUAAGUAACUAACUACGUUGUAAGUUACCCUAGGGUAGUUAUUAAAAUGAGGCCAAAUGGCGAAAAACGACUCGCGAUUAGCCUAGUCUAGAUUCCGUAAAAUUGAGGGGUACAAUGUACUACUGGUCAGCCCUAUUCGAAAUCUUCAGGCACACGCCCUCAUCCAUGAUCGUAGUACAUAUGUAGUACUAAUGCAGUGCUACACACGAUGAGAGGGGGAUAUCUCCGAGCUCCAACUAACUAAUGUGCUGUGAUGAGAUGAGAUCGUGUGAGGAAAUUUUUUGACAGUAUGUUUCUAAAUAUGUAGAAAUUGCUCAGGCGCAAAAAAACAAGGUCAUCGCGGCGGCGGGGAAUUCAAUCGUACGGGGCGCAACUGACUAGUUAGUAUUCAGGUAUGGAGACCUGGGCUGUCAAAAUAAUCCAUAUUGACGCAUGGAAAUGCAUUAUCACACUGUUCCUGUGUACUAACCCACCCUGUAACUCCGUCCGGAGUUAUACCGGUCAGCAUCAGGCACUACGUAGUAAUACAUAAGUAAUACGUAGAAAGUGAUGACGACUCGCAACAUGAAUCUAUAUCAAGCAUUAACUGGCUCGUCGUUGAGCAAUUGAAGAUCUGUACCUUGGAUGUCCGUCGGAAGGACGCAUUAAAUGCUCUUGGAGCCAUGACCUCGAUUCUCGAGCCAUAUCUGGCAGCAUGCAUACAUAGAACGAAAAGAAAAAUGAAGCAGACCAAUAACAUCACAGAAUAAACGUUGGUCUAUGCGUGCCGGAGAAAUGAUCAACCAAUUGUCGAAGAAGGGUGUGGUUUGAAAAGAAAAAAAAGAAGAAAAAAAAAACAAAGCCUUCCUCAGGAGGGAAAUAUCCAUUCAGUAUUGCCGCCAAUCAUGACGGACCUAAUGCAGGUACACCCCUGUGGUAUCCCAUGGGCCUAGUUCUAGUUAAUGCAGUCAUGCAUUGAUUUAAUGAAUCAAGCCUCGGCAAUGGGGGGGCGCGGUGGCAUGCACGAGGGGGCAUCCUCUCGUGUACUCUAUCUAUACUUACUCUGCAGUAUAGCAGCCAGAACGCCACCCAGAACAGGGAUGAUCUGCGUCCUGCCUGCUCCGAUUAUUGGCGUGCUUUCCUAAUAUGGUAAGGAGCGUGCGAAAAAGUCGUUUUUCCAUCGACCAAUCAGCCGCACACUGAAUGAGACUGGAGAGAGAAAAAUUGGCCAAUGGGGCUCUGUGGCGGACACUAGUCCAGUUUACUUUCUUUUGCAGGGCGCGUUAUUAUUGGCUCUUUCGAGAAUACUCCUGGAACUGAUGCAAGCCUCGAAUUAUGAUUCCAUCUGAUAAUACUGCGAGGACUACGAGUAAUACGAGAGACUUGAAUGCACUAACUCGUUGUACGUUGUGAUGUAGUGACGCCUGGACCAGGCUACUGCAGCCCUUUUCUUUGAUCACUUUUCGUGAAGCAGAGUUUUCUUGUCUGGUUGAAACACAUGACGCCUCGGGACAGCGACAGGAACGAACUUCAUAGUUACUAUGACAGGACCCCAUUCCGCCUUGUAGUUAAAUAAGUUAUGUUAGUUAACUAGACGGUCCAACGACUAAUGCAUCUUAGAUUCUGACAGGUCCAUGAUUCUUUGUUUAAUUUUGACCUGCCAACAUCGCCACACGCUUCCGGAGGAUGUUACUGGUGUGACUGACUCGCAACAACGACAUUGUCGAUUGUUCGCAAAAGCAACGAUGGCGCGGAACACGGAAGAGCAAGUCAAACCUAUCAAGCCUCAAGCCUUGACUGUCACUAGCACGUCCCCGCCGUCGGGUUGGUGGCGGUCACGGGAUUUGCUUUUCGUUCGUUUUCGUCGCUUCACUGAGCCCUCUUCGUUUGGGAGGCUUGGGUUGUACGUCGUAAAUUGAUUAAUAAUAUGCACAUGUGGCUUUCUUUGUUUCUCCCCCAAGGUAUCAAUUACUACAUCUGGCAUUUACUACGUAGUACAAGGUGCCUAAGAUAUAUAUCACAUCUGAUAUCGUCAAAAACUACCUAGGGACUGUUUCAACUCGCUGACACUAAGGAUAACACGUAACUAUAUUGAUCGAUCAAUAACAGACAAGCUUUCCGGCUAUAGUAGCAUUUUUGUUGUUAUUGUUGUCGUUGUGCCUGGGGUGAACCAUGGAACCAAGCUCCGACGAACAAAGAAUGGACUCUUAUUUGAGUUCAACUGAUUGUUGCUUUCUCGGCUUGCGUACCAUGGAAAUGCUAGCUAGCUGUGGGACGGUGCAGUGCGGAGUACGAGGUUACUCCAUAGUAGUACUCAUUAUUUGAGGAUGCAAGCUAUUGUCUUGUACGUUUGUCGAGUCAAUUUGCCUAGGUUGGUGGACCAGGCCAGACCACAUCUCCGCUCACUAUUUGCACGUUCGAAGGCGCAAUGACAAAUAUAACGCGUUACAUUUGAGAUAUAUGUAGCAUGCAAGUACUGCUGGUACCUACCAUGUCGAUGAUCUACCUGCGAGGCCACGACCCAGACAAUCGAAGAUUUGCAUUGCAUGCAAGAAACGUCUAGCCCAGGAACCGAAACGAUCAGGAUCACGACCCGACGACUACGCACUGUGCGGAGUACUCCGUGCGUAUGGAUGGAAUGAGAUAGACGAGAGAAUGAUGUUCCACUCAAGACAGUCGUCCCGGUCCGGGACCGUCCAUUUUCGGGACACUGCCGUACUCCAUCUUCAGCUCAAGCCCAGACCAAGCAAGCUUCGAUCGAAUAAUGAACAAUCAAUGAAUGAAUGAAGACUCUCACGAGCCGUCGGCAACCUUGUUUUUUUCUUCUUCUUUUCUUUUCAUGGGCGGAUCGACCUGCCCGACAGAAAUCCCAUUAUCCGAGUACAGUACGUAGUCGUAGGUUGGUUGCACAACGGUUACACACAUCACAAAAACACAUCACAAAACACAAGUCCGUCAUUAAUUAGAGCUCAUAUGCAAACGCACCAGCUCGGAGAAAGGGUCAGAUCAGACACACGUGUAUUUCAAUAUGAACCGUCUUUGACCGGAAAUUUUGCUUUUUCCAUCUGUCUUGGCCGAUGGGUGGGUGCUGGACCGUUGUAAGGGUCAAGAAUCAAAAUAGAUGGAUGGGAUCGCAGUCCAAGAGCAGAAUCUCUGGGAUGUUUCCAAUGCUCCAUCCAAAAUAUGGGCCCCCCGGUCCGGCUGUGAGCCCUUUAGACUUGUGCCGAGGGGUUCAAAACUUGUAUUCCUCGAGGUCCUUCCAAGAACAGAUAGUUAGUUAUAGUACGACUACGUACCCCGAUUCUUGGUUCUUGGAUAGAGGGUACGUAGCACAACUAAGCUCACCCGGGAAACCACAAUUGUCGAUUAUAAAACUAAUUUCUGGUUUCCCUCCCGUACGGUACGUUGCCGUUUUCCGUUUAU
rnacentral:lncRNA from 1 species